rnacentral:rRNA from 1 species
CAGUAGCCACGGGAAUACGAAGGGGGCUAGCGUUGCUCGGAAUCACUGGGCGUAAAGGGUGCGUAGGCGGGUCUUUAAGUCAGGGGUGAAAUCCUGGAGCUCAACUCCAGAACUGCCUUUGAUACUGAAGAUCUUGAGUUCGGGAGAGGUGAGUGGAACUGCGAGUGUAGAGGUGAAAUUCGUAGAUAUUCGCAAGAACACCAGUGGCGAAGGCGGCUCACUGGCCCGAUACUGACGCUGAGGCACGAAAGCGUGGGGAGCGAACAGGAUUAGAUACCCCAGUAGUCCCUGUCUCUUAUCC